rnacentral:rRNA from 1 species
AUUGAACGCUGGCGGCAUGCCUUACACAUGCAAGUCGAACGGUAACAGGUCUUCAGAUGCUGACGAGUGGCGAACGGGUGAGUAAUACAUCGGAACGUGCCUAGUAGUGGGGGAUAACUACUCGAAAGAGUGGCUAAUACCGCAUGAGAUCUACGGAUGAAAGCAGGGGAUAGCAAGACCUUGUGCUACUAGAGCGGCCGAUGGCAGAUUAGGUAGUUGGUGGGAUAAAAGCUUACCAAGCCGACGAUCUGUAGCUGGUCUGAGAGGACGAUCAGCCACACUGGGACUGAGACACGGCCCAGAGUCCUACGUGAGGCAGCAGUGGGGAAUUUUGGACAAUGGGCGAAAGCCUGAUCCAGCAAUGCCGCGUGCAGGAUGAAGGCCUUCGGGUUGUAAACUGCUUUUGUACGGAACGAAAAGCCCUGGGUUAAUACCCUGGGGUCAUGACGGUACCGUAAGAAUAAGCACCGGCUAACUACGUGCCAGCCGCCGCGGUAA